UACAGAGGUGGCAAGCGUUGUUCGGAAUUACUGGGCGUAAAGGGCGCGUAGGCGGUCCGAUAAGUCCUGUGUGAAAUCCCUCGGCUCGACUGAGGAACUGCACGGGAGACUGCCGGGCUUGAGUUCGGGAGAGGGAAGCGGAAUUCCGGGUGUAGCGGUGAAAUGCGUAGAUAUCCGGAGGAACACCGGUGGCGAAGGCGGCUUCCUGGACCGACACUGACGCUGAGGCGCGAAGGCGUGGGGAGCGAACGGG
rnacentral:rRNA from 1 species